UUCGAGGUAGUGACGAGAAAUAACAAUACAGGGCAUUAAAUGUCUUGUAAUUGGAAUGACUUAAAUCCAAACCCCUUUCGGAGUAACAAUUGGAGGGCAAGUCUGGUGCCAGCAGCCGCGGUAAUUCCAGCUCCAAUAGCGUAUAUUAGCGUUGUUGCAGUUAAAAAGCUCGUAGUUGGAUUUCUGUUGGGUUCGGCCGGUACACUUUUGUGUAACCUGGUUUCCCCCAGCAUUUUCUCGGUAGCUCUCCUUCCUUUACCGGUUGGUUUGUAUUUCCGAGACUUUUACUUUGAGAAAAAUAGAGUGUUUCAAGCAGGCUUUUGCCUUGAAUACUGCAGCAUGGAAUAAUAAGAUAGGACUUUGGUUCUAUUUUGUUGGUUCUAGAACUAAAGUAAUGAUUAAUAGGGACAGUUGGGGGCA
rnacentral:rRNA from 1 species